ensembl:lncRNA
GUACAGACGUGGGGAAGGAGCGCUGAGUGACAUGGGUGGCGGGAGGGAAUCCAUGACACGUAACUGGGGCGUGCUAGUGUGACCAGGGUGGACGAGAGGCUCCGUGUGGCCCAUGGGCAGGGGGUCUUGGGUGACAUACGGGUAAAGAGGGGCUCCAUGUGACUCACGAGCCAGGAAGGGACUGGCGUGAAAAACGUGUGGAGGAGGGGCUUGGCCUGACAUAGAAGUGGGGGGGCCCAGUGUUACACGCUGCAGAGGAGAGACUCAGUGUGACACUCGGGGUGGGGGCGUGUGUGACCUGGUGGGGAGGGAUUCCAGUGAUGCAUAAAUACGGGAGAGGCUAGUGAGACAGAGAAGCGGGGAGGGCUCGGUCUGACACAAGGCCAAAGAGUACCUCUGGGUGACGCCGCAAGGUGUUCGUAGGACAGCUAAGUGCGGGCGGAGCUCAGUGUGACGCUUACACGGGGGGAGGGAAGGUGAGACACGAGAGUAGGCAGUCCCCAGUGGCUGGGCAGGAGGCUCACGACAACACACAGGGGCGGAGGCGCUCUGUGUGAAGCAGGAACGGGGCCUGGGGUCACCGUGGCUCAAGAUGGGAGAGGGCCAGUAGGAGACCACAGUGAGAAGGCUCCGUGCAACAUGCGGGUGGAACAGGGACAGAAAGUGACCGACAGGUCAGGGAGGGGCUCUGCGUUAUAAUUAAGAGAAGAAAGGACUCGAGUGCGACAGGUACACGCAUCCCCCAGAUGAGAAGGGAAUGGCGCACCUGGGACAACCAGAUGGGAACUGACCUGGAUGGAGCAGCCUCUGGGCUGAGUGCCGGGGUUGCAGGCAUCGUCCAGGUCCGAGGCUCUGUCGAGGCCGCAGUGCGGUGCCAACAUCUGGGUCCAGAGGUCCUGGCCAGCGCCCGUGGGUGGCAGACACCCCAGGCCGUGGCCAGGGAGGCUGAGCAGGCUGCAGACACUGGGCAGGACCCAACAUGUCCAGCUCAACACCCUAUCCCUCCAUCCAGGAGGUGGCUGGACAAAUACUGUGAGCUGCUGGGGAAGCUGGGG